GUUUUUUCAAGACAUCUUAUGUGGGACAAUCAAUGAUGAGGUGUUUUGGGUUGUUGAUGCUUAUGUCAAACGCGAUCUCGACUGUUUGUGUAACAUCUUGGUUUCGAGAGGAAGGAAGGAUCUUAAGCAAAGGAUCAAGAAGGUGUGGUUAGAUCUGAGGCUAUAGCAAUCCAGAACAUCUAAAUGAGGUUUUCUCAGGAUCGCGGGAAAGCACCGACUUGAUUGUACACACCAGUGAAAGAGUUAUGCUUGAGGAUCCUGGAUUUUAAUUAAACAGUUAUGAGGUUAUGAUUUUGUAAAGUAAAUAAAUGAGGUAUUUUGUGAAACGUGUUAUGAGAACUACGAGAAUUUUAAUGAAAAAAAAUUGUUUGAAAAUUUACGGUGUUACAGCUUGUGUGACA